AAAAAAAAAAAAAGCAAAAAUCUAUGUUAUUAUUUAAGAAAUUAAGAAAUUUUUGUGAACAUUGAGGUGGUGGCUGACGUUUUCCUUAUGUAAAGACUUACUAUUAAUUUCGUUAUACAAAGACCAUUGAGUUGUUGUGUAAGCAUAGCGGCAAUUUCCUUGAAGGUAAUGAAAUGAACAUGGUCAAAGAAUCUGAGUGAAGGUGCAAUAAUUAAUCCUUGUAGCUACGUUUAUAGCAUGAUGUGCUCACAUGCAACCCUCUCCAAAUUAAGCAUAAUUAAUUAAGAGGUUUUAAAUAGAUUCCGACCCACUUCAAAUUAAUUAAAGCUAUUUUAAAGUGCAUUGCCCAUAGCCUCUCCUCUUAGCUUUAUGCCUUUAUUGCAACAGUGAAUGAUGAGGAGUCUAAAGUUGAUUACUCGAUCGCCACGAAGGAGUCAUUAUCUAGUACUGAUACCCGCACAAAAUUUUAAGUUCAUUGUAAUGUUGAUAAAGGCUUAUACAAUAUAAUAAAGGUGUUUUCCAAUGUUAUAUGAAAGUCGUGUCAGUAUUUCAUGAAAUGCAAAUGUUGGUAUAUUUUGGACACAAAUUGUCUGUAAUGAAAACUGAAACAAAAUAAAAAUAGAAAAGAUAGAGAUAGGUAAAUUUGAGGAAAUUUAGAUCUCCUAAAGAUGUUAUUGGUGCUUUAAAGGACCAACACCACUAAUAGAUAACCAUAGUUGUCAAUCAAUACUGUAGAGUUGUUAUUGAUGAUGAUAGUGCUAGUUUAAAUAAUUGGUUAACUUUCAUAUGAAACUUAAACCUAAUUAAAGAAUAGGAGUAAAAUAAUCCAAUUCUUAAGAUCAAGAAACACUGAUAACUAACACAAAUAUUAAGCCGAAGUACACAUAACAACUAAAACGAGAAAUAUAAAUUAAAAAAAAAAUCUAAGAAAUAAUUUGAAUAAUCAUAUCACCGCACCUGAGAAUUUUUCCAUCACUGAGUAAACAAACCUAUACGAGAGAGCUUCUUAUAAAUUGGCAAAACCACUUACCGUGGGUUCUUUUUUAUCUGCGCCGAAAGUAUGGUUCAAUUGGCGAGUCACCCCACGUGAAAUUAAAGCUAAAUGAUAGUGCUCAUAUUAUUUAAUUAUUAUAUCUGAGAGAGCAUUUGUUCAAGGAUCGAAUAAAGGAACAUCAAUUGUUCUUAAUUCUUUAUUUCUGUCACCCCACCUUAAUUAGGAUUGAAGUAAGCACAUCAGGAAGGAUCUAUAUAUACUGGCAUACCAUGGAAUGUUAAUUACUAGUUAAUUAAGGAUAAGUCUUCUCAAACGAAAACAGAAUCUGGUGGUGACCAACACUAUUCAAAUAUUCUUUCUACAAGUUCUUCAAGUUACAUAUCUUCAGUUACACUCAGGUUAUUGUUCGACCAUCACUGAAAGCGUCAAAUUUGUUUGUGUCAAUAUGUACCUAGCUACAUAGAUUGAUAAUUUUGUGAGGACAUCUACAUUACCAUAUGCUUUUUUUUUCUUUUUUCUUUAAUUUUUGGGUAAAUUGUCUUCCUCUUAAUGAAAAUUUUAUGGGGCAUAUAAAUAUAGUGCUUACCUACUUCAGGAUUUUGGAAUAGAUAAUUUUUAAUAUAUAUACAAAUAAUUUCUGAACUUACUAUCCUUGUUGAAUAUAAUCAACUGAUACUUUAAAUCAAUUCAAAGUUAUUAACUUUUAGUACAAUUUUGCUUGAUAUAGAUGUAGUAAGAGAGUUAUGCAUGAACUUUUAUUAAUUUAUGCAUCAUUAACACUGCUUAAAAUUAAAGGGGUAUUACUAUUGUUGUAAGGAAGAAGCUUUUGUGUAUGGAGGCAAGCGAUGUCAAUUCAAUGCAUCAUUCAGAUAUAGAAUAUGGAUCAUCUUCAAUCACAACUUUAGAAGUACAUAAUUCGACACAAGCCCCAGAGUCAAAUGCAGGUAAUUAAGCUCCUCGUCUCUCUCUCCCCCCUAUAUAUUUGAGUAACAAUGUUAAAAAGUUGUAAAUGUGUGAAAAAGACAACUCAUGAUGGCUGUAAACAAGAUCUAGAACUAAAAGCUGAUUAUAUACAUACUUCUAUAUUGAGUUUCUAAAAAGAAAUCUCGCAAUUAAAAAAAAAAUGGAAUAGAUUUUUUACAAUGCUAUAAAUAGUUUAUUUUUUGUAAAAGAUCAUCUCGCAUUUCAUUAAAGUACUGAAUCCUUAUCUAAUAAGUUCUCUCUCUAUGCAUAUAUAUAAGAGAAUGAAUGUAAAAAAUAAUAAUAAUAAUAACAAUGGAGAAUUUUUUUAGUAAUGGAAACAUAAUUAACAUGAUUAGUCAAAGAAAAAAAUUGCUAUAUUUACUUACAAGGAGUAAGUUUACUAUAUACUUUGAUGCAACGUGUUCCAUGGACCCCCUGCAGCAAAUCUUUCGGCGGCAAAAAGAUAAAUUGAUGUAUGGUGAUAGAUUAAUACGGAUAUUUUCAAAACUUUGUUGGUUAUAAGAGCACCGAAAUAAAAAUUCUCGCUGAUUAUAAGAGUAUCCACGAAUUUAGGCAAUUAAGUCUCCUUAAUUCACAUAAUACCAAGAAAUAACAAGACCGAUCGAAAUUUAAAUUUAUUAUAUAGAAAGUAUUAAUAACAAAUCUCAAGUCACUAGUCAGAUUUUAAAUUAAAGGUAUAAAAUACGCUUAUUUAUAUUAAUAUAUAACCCAAGCCUCGCAUGUGACCUAGGCUUGCAAAUCCACUAAAACAAAACAAUUAAACAAUAAAACUACUAACUUGAAAAUAUAUCAAAUAAGAUAUUCGUAGAAUAGAUAAAGUGUCUUUACUAUAAUAGUUGUCUGUCCUGCUUUGCAUCAGUACUUCAUGUUUAUAUGGUGCAUUAAUUAUUUAAAGUGACCAAUGACGUUGCUUCGGAAGAAAUGGAGAGAAGACGUACCAAUGUAGCUCUAGCUCCUGCAUCGCAGCAAGAAGUUAGUAUCUCAAUACCAGGCGGAGAUGCGGCUAAUUCUGUACAACCCCUCCAAAAUGGUAAUUUAAGAGUCGAGUAUAAACACUACUGACUUUGUUCUUGUUAUAUGUGUGAUUCAGCUUUUUCAAGCACCAUUAAUCCUUAAUUACAAAAGAUGUAACUAUUAACUGUUGCAAAAAAGAAACAAUGACACAUCUUCAUAUAUGUAUACAUACAUAUACAUGUAUAGGACUUCUGGAGGCAAACAUUGUGCAUUCAACUUCUUCUUCAUCUUCAAUCCAAACGCCAGAUAUAAAUUCUAAUUCCACUCAGGCCCCUGACUCAGACACAAACCAGGGUGGUACUUCAUCUCAAUUCAACUUGCCAUCCCUUCAUCUACUUCAAGGUGAGUUCUUAUGCAUUAACAUUCAUGCAUACCAUUUUGGCUUAUCAGCAUAUAGAGUCCAUUUUUAAUUAGGAAUAAAUGAGAACCGAGCUAAAACAUAGAACAAUAUAAAUUUUAAUCUGUUAAAAUUAAAGACAAUAAACAUUGCUUUGAAAACUGUAUUUUUUUUCUAUCUUUUAGUUUGUUUUUUAUUUUAGUAAAAUGAGAGCUUCCUCUUCGAAAAAUUAUGCUCAGAUACGGAUAUUUGCACUUUAUUAUAAAGUGAGAACACACUUUUACAAAAGUUGUAAAAGAAUUUGUACUCGUCGCACUUAAACAUAUUCCUAAAUAUAGUAAUCUUUCAAUAAGGGAUUCCUUCAUUCAGUUAAAGGAUAAAACUAAAGCAUUAUAAAUUGAUAUAUUUUGAAGAGUGGAUGUCUAAUUCGUUUUAUUUUUGCAUGAACGCUACGAACAUGGACCCACCAAAAUUGAGUUGCAGAUAAAAAACAGUACAGCCACAAAUGUGUGCCUCUCUAUAAGGCUGCAUUAAAAGGUGACUGCAACGAAGCAAAACGUAUAUUAGGAGACGAUCAUCAGUCGAUGCUACGUGCAGCUGUAACAAAGGGAUAUCAAACUAUUCUUCACGUUGCAACAGGAGCAAAACAAACAAACUUUGUAAAGCAAAUGGUAGAAUUGACGGGGCAUGACAACUUGCUAACGUUGCAAGAUGAAAAUGGAAACACAGCAUUCUGUUUCGCUGCUGCUGUUGGGAGUGUAGAAAUCGCUCAGUUUAUGCUGCAAAGGAAUCCAAAUUUGUUGACAAUCCGAGGCGGUGGGCAGAUGACGCCGCUCUACAUUGCUGCUUUGUUUGGGCAAAGUAAAAUGGCAUCAUUUUUAUAUCGUCAAAAUGAAGACAAUUUGGAACCAGACGACCUAGAAAAUACUUUUUUUGUCUCCAUCGAAACUGGUUUGUAUGGUAAGAAUAUGUUCAAUUUCUUCUUUUUAUUGGAUGAUCCCCCAAAGAAAAGCUAACUUUUUAGGAGAAACCUGUAUCCGUUUAAAUGAUUUAUAAAAUUUUAUAACCGUUCGGCACUAUUUUACAACUAAUAAGAAAUGGCCAAAUGUGUUGCGUAUAUUUCAUAAUUGAGUGCGACACAAUUCUAAAGUGGUUCUAAGGGUCCGUAAUUCCUGAAGUUGUUAUCAAACAGAUUUUUUUUUUUGGUCUUUUUUAUUCUAUAUGAAACAAGACAAAAAAUUUUAUUUUAUUUUAUCAACACGUAUGACUCCCAUUUACCUUAAUUUUUUGAACAUGUUGACGCGUAGGAAUCCUAGGCCGAAAAAGAAUUAGAAUAUUAAAAAUUAGCUCAUUUUUCUUUUCUUUUCAUGCUUUUAACUGUAAAUUCUAUAUUUUGGCUUCAGUCAUGCAUGUGCUUACAGUGUUGACAUUAUUAUCGCCUCGUUGAACCAAAAUCAGUUUGAAGAGUCAUGUUUUCUGCUGUUUUACAAAAACAUUUGAGUGAAUUGCUCAGGUUUGGCGCUGCAAUUGCUAAAGAAGAAUAAAAAGCUGCUAGCUGGGGCUACUCAUGCGAAAUAUGGGACAGCUAUGCAUAUGUUGGCUAGAAAUCCCUCAGCAUUUACCAGCAAUUGUCCGGGAUGGUUGAAAGGUAAUUAGGUUUUAAUUAUGCUUAAGUAAAGUACAUAUAUAAGUUGUGAUUAUAUUCAAUCUCUAUCUAUCUAUGUGAGGAUGUUGAGGUAGUAAGACCAAUCAAUAUAAUCUUGUCGUUUGGGAUGGGUGGGUACGUUUUACUUUAAAAAUCUUGUAAUUGAAGUUGGUGGGUCUCACUUAACCUACUCAAAUGACAAAUUCUUAUUGGUCAAACGCACCAACUUAUUAUGCUGAUUCAAUAUGCUUGACUUAUAUAAGUUUCUCUCCUAUCUAUGUAUACAAAACAAGACAAGAGACAUAAAUAAAAUUUAAUUUACCAUGCAAAAUAUACUAAUUUUUCCCUCUUCAAAUAUUAACCUAGUAGGCUAGUACUACAGUAAUGAUGAUAGCGCAUAUGAGUUACUCCCUCAAGAGUUGGUUAGACCAGUAACACUAUUAAUGACAUAUGUUCCUCAUCACCAUUACAUACAAGCCAGUCUUUUUUAUUAGUACUUGUCACGCUUUAAGCGAAGAUAUUGUGGCUCACUUGUGCAUAAGUCUACCAUUUAAAAGCUAUAUAUGAGUCUAACUCAUCCUUGAAAGUUAGGUAAAAAAGUAAGAGUUAGGCUUAUAUUAUUAGCUGAUGUAACUAAUCUCAGUGUGGGAUAUGUUCCUUAUCAUGUGCAUAAUAAUGUUUUCCUCAGGCUAAGAAAUUGGAUCGAGUAUUGAUAGAAAACCAUGUUGAUUUACUAGUGCGAGCUCUUAAAUGAUAACUUGUAAUUUUCUGUCUUUCAGUUCCAGGAAUAAAGUUCAUCACCAACAAUACAGACUCUUCAACUCAGGCACUUGAAUUAGUCAAAUGUCUAUGGAAAGAAAUAUCAAAAAGCACACACGAGGACGUCCUAAAACUUAUCAGUAAACCUUCAAAAUUAUUAUUUGAUGCAGCUCACUCGGGGAACUUCAAAUUCUUGGCUGUGCUCACUCGUUCUUAUCCUGACUUGGUUCAUCAAUUAGAUGAAAAUGGUCGAAGCAUAUUUCACAUUGCAGUUAUGCACCGUCAUGCAGAUACCUUCAAACUAAUAUAUGAGAUGGGCUUCGAUAAGGAGUUGAUAGCAACAUAUGUAGAUGUGUCUGGUAAUAACUUACUGCAUCUAGCAGCACAAUAUUCAAAUCCAAAACCAAUCAGUAAGGUGCCCGGAGCGGCUCUAGAAAUGCAGCAAGAAUUAAAAACUUUUAAGGUAAAUGUUUUAUUUAUUAUUUCACUAUGGUCGUAGUUAACAAUUACUUGAUUUAUAGCUAGGUACAUUUGGCUGGCCUUUUGAUAACAAAGAGGAACCCCUCCUACACACUUUUGAGGAAGAAGUUAAUUUGUAUUAUUAUUUUUACCUAAUUCAAUCGUGUCAUAUAUAGAGUCGUUAUAUGAUCGUUCUUAAGUUUCAAAAUUUUGGAUUUUAUUAAAAUCUGGAACAAGUUAACAACAGUAUGUAUAUACUUCCACAGCGUUGUAAACAUAUAUAUAUAUAGGAUUGAGUGAAUCUCAUGGAUAAAAAAUUAAUUCACUUUGUUACAUCAAAAUCUUAUGUUGAGGGACCUCUCCCAUAUAUAUAAUUAUUCUCAAGUGCAGCGCUCUCUUACAUUAGUGUAAAGACCUUUUAUAAUACUGUAAAAGACUUUGCAUCGAUAUAACUAUAAAGGUAAAAGUAUGCAUUCUAUGAAGUGCAAACAUUGGCACCUAAGAAUUUUUGUAUAUAUAUACUUCUUAAUAUUGCAUUUUUAUUAAAAAUAUUAUUAAUUGGUAGGAGGUGGAAACCAUCGUCAAACCUUCAUUCAAAGAAAUGAAGAAUAAUGAUGGCAAAACACCAUGGGAGUUAUUCACCGAUGAGCACAAAACGUUGUUGGAAGAAGCUGAAAAAUGGAUGAAGAGUAGAGCAGAGUCAUGCUCGAUAGUUGCAACACUAGCAACUGCCGGGGUGUUUCAGGCAGCUUUCACUCCACCAGGUGGCAACAAAGAUGGAGAAGGAACGCCCAAUUUCCACUCAAAGAUUUGGUUUCAUAUUUUUGUCAUGUCAGAAGCAAUCGCAUUUUCCUGCUCUUGCAUCUCAAUGUUGAUGUUCUUGUCCAUUCUGAUCACGUCCCGAUACAGAGAAAAUGACUUUCUGAAGCGGUUACCAUUCAAGUUAACAGUCGGACUCUUAACACUCUUUAUAGCUUUAGCAACCAUGAUGCUAUCCUUUAGCUCAAGUUUUUUCUUGGCUUAUCGUGAUAGAAUGAAUUGUUUCUCUAUGCUUACCAUUAUACUUGUAUUUCUUCCAGUCGCUCUGUAUCUUCUACUGCAAUGUCGCCUUCAGGGAGACAUACUCUAUUCCACUUGUCGUUCUAGGUUUCUAGUUGGACCAAAAUAUUGAAAGCUAGAAAUUUGUACCCCAAUUGUCAAGCUUGAGGAAAACUCAUGGGUGCUUUAACAGAAUAGAAAAAGUUCAGUGUUUUAGGAACACUAUAGAUUCGAUAUUUAAUAGUGGGCCAAGUGUCACGGGAUGAGUGUUUUGCGCAGCUAACCCAUGCGGCACUUAGACAACUUUGCCGAAUGUUGCUAAGUAAGCCUAGAGCUUCUCGAACUAGAGAAGAGAGCAAUUGAGCCAAAGAAGAAAACUUGUAUUGCACAAAGACAUAAUACAAAGCUUGAGUUGCUUACAAUGUUUGUUGGAUACAAAUGCCUAAUGCCAUCCCAUAUUUAUAGGGGAGGCUUUGCCAAACUUUGCCAAACUCUAGAGAAUUCUACAAUUUCCUAGCUAUUUACAUGUGCUGGAAUUGUAUAAAGUAUUCUAGAAUAUUUACAUGUUCACAUGUGCUAGAGUUGCCUAGAACCUUCCGGAAUUGGGCCAAGCUAGCACUCUUGGCCUUGUGUUGGCUCUCUAGCCUGCAACACAAGGCUCCUAAUCUCAUCUUUUAUCUAAGCAAAUACACUUAUAUGAUUACUAGCUAAUAAAUGAGAACAUAAUAAUUAAAUAAAUCUUGAUUAUGAAUAAAUAAACGUGAUAUUUAUCCAGCCUAGAAACUUUGUCAAGUAAAAAUUUUUAAAUACAAUAUUUAUUAGGUGUUUAUUUUUAAAUAAAUUAAAUGACUUAGAUGGAUGUAUAAGAAAUAAAUAUACAUCAAGUCAAGAGAAAGAAGCCCACAAAGUUAAUAAUUGAUUAACACUAAAAAGUGUACAUUUACUAAAUAUAAAAUUAUCAGUUUUUCAUUUACACUAUUAAUUAAUGUGCUCAUUAUUCCUAAAUUAUCUUAAUACUCGCCUAAUAAAUUUUUAUGUUAAUUUGCAAUAUGUUAAUUUUUAUAUUGUAAAUAUUUCAAGAAUAAAGAGAGAAUGGGAAUUGAAAGCAGGAAAUAAAGAAAAAUUGCUAGACCCAUUUGGAAUGCAUUAUUAAGAAAAUGUAAUUCAUAAAAAAAUAAAGAAAAGGAAAGUGAGCAACAGGCUCGCGACAAUCAGGUGGGCAUUUUGCCACUUGACUACCACACAUUUCUAUGUAUAUAUAUUAUAAAAAAAUAAAUAAUAAUAAAAUAAAAGAAGAUGGCAUGACUAGUUGCCUAUAAAAGGCAAGAAUAUGGAGAUGGAAAGGGGGAGGGCAGAGAAGAGGAGGAGUUGAGACUGAAAUUAGAAAAAAAAAAAUUCUUCUUUUGUAGUUAAUUUUCUUGUAGUAUAUUUCAAAAGUUUGUUAAAUAAAAUGAAUAUUUUGUUUAUCAAUAUAGGUGGCUAAUUUUCUAAGCUGCGGUGAAAGGUGAAGUUCAAUAAUUCAAAUUAUUAAUUAAAUACUGUCUCAAGUGAGUCUUAAAGUUAUUUUAUUUGUUGUAUUUUUUCCUUACCAGUUUCUUUUAUAUCAUGUUAAUUUAUAGAUUUAGAUGUCAUCAGAUUUAUAUGGUAUUUUGACAUAAUAUUGACACUUUAAUAUAGUUGCAGCACAUUAGAUACUUGGUUCCAGAUUUAUCCACAGUAAUGGUUAGUUAAGAAUUAAGGACAUAAUAAUUAACUGGCAAAAUAAAUGUAAAAUACAAAUAUGAGAGAGUGUUAUAACCAUAAUUUGAAAUCCAAGACUAGAUCACGUAAUUUUAGCAUAUUUUUAGAUUGAUUCAUAUUAAUUUCUUUUCCUAUACGUAAUUUUCUUUGUUUAGUAAUUGAGCAAUAGAUUUUAAAUUUCCUGUGGUCCAACCCCAGACCAGGGCCGGCUCAACUAUAUUUGGGGGUUUAGGUAAAUGAUUUUAAUUAGUUUUUCUUAAAACUUAGGAUAAUAUAUAUUAUUUAUCGAAAAUCAAUUCUUUAAACACUCUAAAAUGUCAAAUUAUUAAAUAAAAUUCUAUUCUACUGUUGCUAAUCCAUGAAAUUUUAAUUCAAUUAUAACAUUUCCACUUAUUUUUUUAACUCAAAUUAUAUCUUUUUUACUACUCCUUUUCUAAAUUAAACUAAUUUUUCUAUUGUUCUAUUCUCUAAAAGUUUUCGAUAUAGUUUUAUUUCAAAAUAUAUAAAACAAGCAUACACAAGAAAAAUUAGAUGAAUAAAAUAAUUUAUUAAAAAGAAAUAAGAAAAAAGAAAUAACACAACUAAUUAAGAGAAUAAUAAAAAGAUAAAAUAUGAAAUUUGAGAUGAAAUCAUAAAUUAACUUAUGUUUAUAUUAAUUGUUUGAGGAUUUGAGUAAUGAUCAAUAAUCACAGAGAAUACAGAGAACUAUAAGAUUUUUUCUUUUUCUUCUGGAGUGGAAAGUAGAGGAGGCAAGAUUUUUUUCCCUCUCUCUCUUUCUUUCUCUCAAACACCAAGAACAUAUCAUGUCUUGAUUGUUGGAGGAAAAAUUUAAUGGAUAAGUAAUAAAAUGUGGGGCUUUUAUAGAAGUUUAAAAUGAAUAUAAAACUUUUGAAAUAUAAUAUAUUAAUUCUAAUAAUGAAAUGGAGAAUUUGUAGAAUUGAAAUUAUUAAUUUAUCGGUUUUGUAGAAAUUAAAACUAUUAACUUUUGAAAUAUAACAUAUUAAUUCUAACAAUGAAUAGAGAAUUUGUAGGAUUGAAACUAUUAAUUUAUUGGUUUUGUAGAAAUUAAAAUUACUAAGUACUACAUUAAAUAAACUUUAUAGGAAUUUGAUAGUUUUUUUAGGAAAAUAUAAUUAAAUAAUAAUAAAUAAAAUAAAUAAUAAUGACUUUUAAAUUCACUUUCUCCCUUUAUAUACACAAUAAGCAUCUCGUGUAGCUUUCAUGUAAAACGGGGCUCUAGGCAACUGCCAAAAUUGUCUAGAGGUCGAGUCGCUACUGCCCCAGACUUACUGAGUUAUAUUAUAACCAAACACUCUUAUACUUGAGAGUAAAUAAUACUUUUGAAUCGUGUCAAGUUUUAAACACCAUUGCCAUGGAGUUUCUUAAAUUUGGUGUCAAUUUCAUUUCUAUUUUAUUAUUCUCUUUUGUCAAUUAUUAUCUAUGUUUUGCAUCCUCAUUUACGUCAUUCUUUUGUUUGGUUCUAAUUUUUCUUUCGUAAAAUUUCAGUUAGCUCCUUCUUCUCUCUUGUAAUCAUAGAAUUGCUAUAAAACUUGUGAAGAAUCUCAUUUUAAACUAAACACUGUUGCAACUCAAUCCCUAAACUAAAUUGGAACUUUAAUCUUUAGAUUAUAACUUAUUCUUUGUACUUUUGAAUUGUAGAACUAUGUGAACUCGGAUUUUUUGACUUUAUAAACAUAAUGGACUUGAAUUUAAUUAGACCUUUAAAAUUACUAUUAAGGCCUAGAACUUAAUUUAAUUGCUGAUAAUUCUUAAAAGUUGUUUUAAAAAAAGAGGUGAAAGUUCCACCUCUUGAGGUAAGUAUUUUUUUUUCUUUCUUUCCUUUAAUUUCCACACUUUUUCUUUUAUUUAUUUUUUGUUAAUUUAUAUGGUCGGUUUACCUACCUAAAUUGUAAUAUAACUUUUAUUCCACAAUUAAUUUACAUUUUAUUAUAUGGAUGGUUUUAAAAUACUGCCUGAAUUAUUAAUAUUUUGUUAAUAUGUUAUUUAUUGUUUGCCUUUAAUUAUUUUGUUUUUAUGGCUGUGUCUAAUAUUUUAAUUUUAAUUAAUUAAUUUUCAGUUUAUUUAUUUUUAUUUCGCAUUUAUUUAUUUUUAAUUUUUGUACAUUUAUUAUUAUUUGCUUAUUUAAUUUUCAUUUUAUUCUAAUUGUACAAAUUUCAUUUGGUGUUUUAUGCAUUAUCCAUUUGUUUGUGCACCAUCUUCCUAAUUUAACACACUUCAUCAGCAUUACAUGCGAUGUUGGUCUUGCACAGAUAGUGGCAGAUUAAUUAAGAAAUCAUUUUCAUCUCCUUAGACAUAGUUGACAUCAGAAUUGAUAACUUUUUAGAGCACAGAGAUAACCAAUCCUUACAAAAUCUUCCUGAAUAAUUCAGGACACUUAGAGAUUUCAUGCAUCUUGCUACAAUAUGGUCACCAUCAUACAUAAUUUUUUCUCCUGACGUAUCUCAUUUCAAUUUAUUAAAUUUAUUAAAUGAGUGUGUAAAAUAUAUCAUAUAAGUGUAAUUGCCACUUUUUCCAUAUAAUUCUUUAGUUUUAUCAUUUUUCUUUUAUGGUUUUCAUAAUAACCCAUUGAUGCAAAACAUUUAAGAAAAAAAAAUGGUUUCUGCUAAGAAAAGUGAUAAAACUAACAAAUUUUGGCAUUUGGUGCAAGUAAAAAGUGAAAGAAAAUUUAGAUUUAUUACAAAUAGAUAUAGAGAAUUAAAAUCCAAGAUCUAAUUAAUCAAUUACUUAAUUAAUUAAUUUCUUAAUAGAGUGAAGCCUGAGAAAAUUUCCAAGAUAAUUAACCUAAUUAUAUUAGAAACAUAAAAUUAAUUUACUGUUCACAAUUACUAUUCAUGAAUAUUGUUUACAGUAACUGCUCAUGAGUACUGUUUAUGUUACUAUUCAUCCUCAUCAAAUCAUUAAUUUUGCUGAAAACAAUAAAUUGUAGAAAUUAAAUGAUAUGGAGAUUUUUACGUGAUUUGGAUUAAUCGAUCCUACAUAUACGAGGCCAUGCCUAGAAAAGAAAUUCACUAAUUUGAAGUGUUACAACAUAUGAAUUUACUGAACUUAAGACUCUCAUUUACAAUUUAUGACCAUCCAGCUUACUCAACCUUAGACUGAAUCUGCUUCUCUUGAAUAACCGCUACCUCUCUUGAUCUUGAUCUUCAAGACACUUCGCAAAGUGAUCAAUAAUAAUUCUUCAAUUUUUUAAUAUCUAGUGAUAAAAGAUCUAUAUAGACUCUCCACAGAGAUAAAAAAAACAGUUUUGUUACAAGACAUGAAUGAAGAAGACAAGAAAACAAAUCAACACAACAUCAUGUGCCAAAUCUGGAUUCUCUAUAGAGGAGGCCAAAUUUUACUUCUCUACUUUAUGCUUUGUUUUGUGUUACUUCAAUUGUAGAAUACCUCUCUUUAUAUAGGUCUUAGAGUUUCACAAAAAUCACAAGUCUUAAAAGAUGUGGAUUCUUUGUAAACAAAAGUUUUUUUCUCUUAUAAUUCCUAAAAAUCUGAAUAAGAAUAGAUAUGAUAUUUUUGUCUUACUUGUCUCCUAAGAAAUAUCUAGAGCAUUUGAUAAACUUCCUGUUUGAACUAGCUUCUUGCUCUAAAUAAAUCUUACGCACCAAUUAUAGAAUUUGUCACUAAUUGACUUGCUAAAUUAAACAUCUAAUUAAACUAGGAAACAAAUAUUCCUAAUAAAUUGAAAUUUCAUGAAAUUAAGGAGUUAAUAAAUUAAACCCUAUUACAAGAUAUUCAUCAAUAAAAUUCUAAUUUAACUAAACUUGUCGUAAGAUGCCAACUUUAUAAAUAAUGGACUUAAUAAUCUACCCUUUUGGCAUCCUUGUGGCAAAAGUAAUCCUAUACACGUCUUGUAAUACUCCACACCCGAUUUUGACCUUGUUGACCACCCUUAUAAAUUGAGAGAGAGAGAGAAAGGAAAGAGAGAAGAGAAGAAAGAGAGAAGAGAAACCGAACCGGAUCCAACCCGACCUGUGAGUGCGACCUGGCCGGUUCUCCCAUUUUCGACCACCGUUCCAGUCAAGGUUGGUACCGAAUUGAAGCUUGAGAGACGAGCAACGUAUCCACGCCAUCCUUGCCGCCGAAAAUCGAUUGGAAAGCCACCGAUCGAAGCUUUGAAGUUACGCAGAAUCGCCGCCUUGAUUCGCCGUGAUUUCACCUGUUUCCGGUGAAGCCAUCACUUGGGUUUUGUUCCUUACCUUUCCCUCUGCCGUUUCUGACUAACCACUGACGCCAAGGACGUCGUUUUGCCAUUGAUCGGCCGUUGAAGGAUUCAGGACUUCGGGAGCUCGAUCCGGAGCCAUCACCGUGCGGGGGAGGUCAUCACCGCCACCAUUGGACUUAGCGUGGCUUGAACUUUCAAUUCUGAGCUUCUCGUCGCCGUCGGUUGAAUUUCGAUGACCGUUGACUGGCAAGGGUAUUUCCGUAAUUUCAAAGUCUAAGGGCAAUUUUAUAAUUUUAGAUUUUGUGGGUAUUUUAGUAGUUGCUAAAAUUGAGGAUAAAGUUGUAAUUUAUUAUUUUAAGGUUAAUUUGGUAAUUUUGAUAUUUGAGGGUAUUUUGGUAAUAUUGAAUUCAAGGGCAUUUUGGUAAUUUUGAUAUUUGAGGGUAUUUCCCUAAUUUCAAGAAUUAUGAGUAUUUUGAUGAUUUAUGAUUUAAAUUAAAAUUAUUUGAGGUUAAGUAUGGAAUGUGAAUAUAUUGAGGAAUUUGAGAAUAUUGGAGUUUAUGAUUAUGGUUUAAUUUUAUUCUUAUGAGAGUAUUUUUAUUUAUUUUUAGGCCGAUGAUGUCGAUGUGCAUUUGUUACUCGAGGAUACCAGGAGGUAAGUAAACUAGAUUUCCAAACUAAUCACAAUAAACACUAUAUUUGUUUGACAUGUUUGGAAAACCUAUUUUUAUAUAUGUACGGAUAUUGAUUUAUAUGUUCUGCCCAUGUGUUUAUACGAUGUGUUGAUAUGAUGUGUUGUUAUGUGUGUUUAUGGACAUGGGCAUACGUAUGUGUGAAUAUUUCAUUGGCAUGAGCACGAAAAUGCAUUAUGUUUUCUGUAAAAUAAGAAAGUUGAUUUUAGAAAACGAAAUUUGAAGAAAGAAAGAUUGUUUUAUAGUUUUGGCUUGGAUGCUUGAAUUCAUUACUGGCUUAGUGGAGGACACUCUAGAUGUUUAUAUAAUUAUGAGAUAAGUGGGCGAAGGACACAUUGGCGAGAAGCCCAAAGAGUAUGAAAGAUUAUAAAAGUUAUGAAGUUAAGGGAGUGUCCUACUAAGCGGUAAUCGAAUGAAGGUAGCUCAAGUAAGUGGUUUGAAAGAGAAUGUAAAAGUUUGAGAAAGACAGAAUGAGAUUUCGAUGAUUUGUUUUACGAUGUUUUCGAAUACUAUGGCACGUCAUUCAUUUGCACUAUAUAUAUGUAUGUAUGUAUUUUGGUAUAUGCAAAACUAGUUUACUUAUUGAGUUUCGUACUCAUUGUAGUUUAUUGUGAUUCAGUUUCCGUAAAUCAGUAUUGAUUUGUGAUAAGCAUCGAGAAGGACUUGAAUGGAGGAAUUAGAUGGUUUGACAUGAAUUUUAAAUUCUUCCGCUGCAGUUUGCAUUAUAUAUUUGUAUUUUCGAGGAUAUAAUUUUCAUAGAUUGUAAAAUAAUUAUUAUUUUUAUUUUUUAAGCAUCUAUCAGUAAUAUAUGCCCUGUAGAGGUCAGGGCGGGUCGUUUCACGUCUUCAAUGAAACCUUGGCACUAAAACAUGAAUCUGAAACAAGCACAAACAACAAUAAAGAACUAAGCAAAAUAAUAGGCAAUUAGCAUGCUAGUCCAUCAAAUAAACCAAUGCAAGAAUUAAAAAUAAAAUACUUAUUUUGUUAAUCAAUAAAUUGCAAGACAAUAUUAAGCACAAAAUCAAGAUCAAUAAAAAGAUAAACUCCCCCUAAGAGUUAGAAUCCUAAGAUCUAAAAAGUUCUUUAACAAAAAUAAAGCUCUUCCUAAAAUUGAUAAACUACUCCCCUUAACUUAUUGCAUCAUACAAUUGAUGAUGACUUUGUUUUAAAUCUCCCCCUCUCUUGCCAAAAGUUUGCAAAAGUGAAGAAUUUAAACCAGCUGAAAUUAUAAUGAGGAAGCUAAGAAAAUUGAGUGAAAAUAAAUGAUCUUAGAGGCUUCCUUAUAUCGAUAAGUCAAUCUAGUCCAAAGAGGAGUAGAAAUCCUACUUUCACAAGGUAAGGAUUGAGAAAUACGAUUUUGAUCCAAGUUAAGACACCAUCAAUCCUAAACUAAAUAGAAGAAUGAUAAGAAAGUAUAAUCUAACACAAAUAAGUCAUUAAUAUUAAGUGAAAUGCAAAAAAUCGAAUGAGAUGCAUGAUAAUAUUUUGAAUCGAAAACACAGUACAGAUGAAUAAAAUUCAAAAUUAAACUGGGAAUGAAUUGGACGGAUUAGAAUGCAAUCCAUAUAUUAAUGUUGGAAAGAUCUUUGAAUUGGCUUUUGUUAGAAUUUUACAGAACUGAAUUUGGAGUUCUAUAGACAACGUUAUGACCAAAUGAAUGCAACCUAUUUAGUUUUGACUGGCAGAAACAAUUUAAUGCACUUCAGAAAACAAAAUUAAGGUUUUGCUUCAAAACUGUGUAACUCUUAAAUCUAAAAUCAUACCAAUAUGUAAGAACAUGAUGAUGCACAUGCAUCAUGAACAAAAUUUUCAAAAAUAAAUUUUUAUUUUUAUUUUUAUGCAUUAAUAACAAACUUAAACAAGUGAAAAAUCAAUGUAUUAGGGAAUUUUCCACAACAAGCAUUAAUCCAUGAAGUUAAGACUCUAGUUUCCUCAAAUAAGUAAAAAUUAUAGAAAUGUAUGUUUUUGUAGGUGUACGAGGCAAUUCAAUUAAGAUCUUUUCCCUAAAAAUUCAUCAAUAUUCAUAGUCAAAGUUUCAAAUAUAAAACAUAAAGUUGGUCAAACUAACCUUAUCAUCUUCAUAUCUAAUUUUGACCAUUUCAAAAAUGAUAGACAUAUGUGUGAAGUGAAACUUUGCUAUCCAUUUGGAUUUUGCAAUUUAGCACAAGUUUAUUUUGGAAAAUAAUUUAGCUUAUUGAUAAUUAAAAAAUGUCUAUAUUUAGGAGCUUUUACUCUAUCACUUAAGGUAGCCUUCUUCUCAUGGUGGUUCGUCCUCUAUCAUAUUUGUGAUACGUAGACUCGUAUCACUCAAGGAUAACUUCAUUCUUAAGAGUUGUAGGUAAUUAUGACAAGAUAAGAAUUAAGGCAAACAAUUAUAACUCAAAUUUAAAGAUUGAAUUGAAAUUCGUGUGCUUUUGAAAAAAGGUUAAGUAACUCUAAUGGAAUCUUGUUCAAAGCUUUCGAGUCUUUUAAAACAAGAAAAAUUGCUUGUCGUUUAUUAAUCUAGGAACUUACCAAUUUUUCACAAAAAAACACAAAAAAUGAAGACUCAAAAAUUAAAAAACACAUGAAUGCAUGGCCUAUAUCUAAUGCAAAAAUGAAUGACUUAAAUCUAAAUGCAAAAAUAUUUUGACUUAUAUAGAACACACACCCAAAGUUGUCCUUAAAGAGUCUUUUAAAAUCUAAAGCUUUUAUAAAGAUAUCUGCAAGCUAUUUUUCAGUAUCAAUGUAUUCUAAGGACACAAUCUUGCCCUCAACUAAAUCUCUAAUAAAAUGAUGAUGAGUAUCCAUAUGCUUAGUCCUAGAAUGUCGAAGAGGAUUUUUGGAAAUAUUGAUAGCAUAGUGUUAUCACAAAAUAGAGUCAAAGCAUUCUAAAAUAUAUCAUAAUCCACGCAUUUGUUACAUCUAGAGUAAUUGGGUGCAAUAAUUUCUAGCUGCAAUAUAUUUAGCUUCAGCCAUAAAGAGAGAAAUUGAUUUAUGUUUCUUACUAUGCCACAACACUAAGUUAUUUUCAAGAUAAAAACAUCCUCCAAUAGUGCUUUUUCUAUCAUCAGCAUUGCCAGCCCAAUCUACAUUAUUAUAUCUUGCAAGACUUGAAUUAGUCUCAUUAAUGUACCAAAUACUAUUAUCGAUUGUCCUCCUGACAAAACAAAUGAUUUGUUUAACAACUACAAAGUGUGACUCCUUUGGAUUCACUUAGUACUUAACACAUACACCAACACUGAAACAUAUGUCUGGUGUACUUGUAGUCACAUAAAGUAAGCUACCAAUCAUGUUUCUGUAAAGACUGGGAUCCAUACUAGAAUCAUUAUAGUCAACUUAAUAUUAGUACCCGUAGGAGUUCUCAUGUGUUUUACUGAGUCUAAGCCAAAUAUCUUAACUAAGUUCUCGGCAUACUUGGUUUGAUUGACAAAAAUUUUAUUCUUCAUUUGUUUCACUUGUAAACCUAAAAAGUAAGUCAAUUCACCCAUCAUGCUCAUCUUAAACUCCUUUUCCAUAGCCAUUUUCAAGCAAAAACUUAGUCAAUCUUUUAUACCAAGCUCGAGGAGCUUGCUUUAAACCAUACAAAACCUUUUUCAAUUUAAAAAUAUAAUUUGAGAAAUGGGCGUCUUCAAAACCUUCAGAUUGUUUAACAUAGGCAUCGUUAUUCAAAAUGUCAUUCAAAAAGGCACACUUGACAUCCAUUUGAAAUAAGUUAAAGCCUAUUAGACAACAACUACAAGAAGCAAAUGAAUGGACUCUAGUCUUGUAACUGAUGCAAAUGUUUUAUCAAAAUCAACAACUUUGACUCGUGUGUUACUUCAAAUAUUAAGAUAUCCAAAGCUCCAAUUACAAGCCUACCAAACACAGCCUAAGCAUUUACACCAUAAUAUUUCAAUGCUCAAAUAACUUAAGAAAGUCAGAAAUUUUGGAAACCACCGCACACGAUGCGUUGGAUUCAGAAAAUUCAAAUCAAUCAGCAAACACACAGAGUGUGGAACAGAAGUAAGAAAGAGAGGCUCACCUUUUUCUCGAGAGUGUCAAGUUUCUGGUCCAUUUUCGUAUUUCCUGUUCAGGAUUACAAGAAGAUUGUGCGGCCGGUUGCUGGUGUCAAGAUUGCUAACCGAAAAGAUGUUGAGAGGUUUAAGGGUUUAGGGUUGUUUGGUAACUUUAUAAAUUCGUUAUACUUUCUCUGGGGGUAGUUUGGAUAUUUGACAUUUUUUGUAUGGAGAUUUAAGGAUUAAUUUCUGCCUCAAUCUAUUAGUUUUGACAAAUUUCUACGUACACCCACAACUUUUAACAUGUCAUCAAAUCGCACCUAUCUGUCAAAUUUUACCAUUAUCAUUUUAAAGAGAAUGUCAUAAUGGCCAAUUCAAUCAAAUUCACAUAAAAAUAAAAGGGUUAAUUUUCGCGGAUACCCAUAACUUUAGACUAAAUUGUCAAUGCACACCCAUAUUUUAUUCAAAUUAUGUAACCAUAGUUUGAUAGAUCAUAGAUGGAUGUGAUUUGAUGACAUGUCAAAAUUUGUGGGUGUGCAUUGAUACUUGCUGAAGCUUAUGGGUAUAGGAAGAAAUUAGGAUUUUAUAUUGUGUCGGGCUGCAGCAAUAUCAACGUCUCUUUAUUUCACUCAUCCCAUGAUCCUAACAAUUGAUGAACUUAUUAAAAGUUUUCAAACGAAUCAAAAUAUCCAAUCUAAUUGGCCUAAUGAAUUUUUAAAAAAUUAUCUUGAUUGGAUUUGUUUUUUAACGUUUAGAACUGUUUAUAAAUAAUCAUUAUGUUUUAUAUCUAAACAAAGAUUCAGAAAAAAGAAAUAUUAAUGAGAAAGAAUUGACUGGUUUUUAAAUCUAUCAUCAAUCAAUUGCAGCCCAAUAAUGUACAUCCGCUUAAUUAAAAAGAUUUCUUCAUAAGAGAAGCACAAAUACACAAAUGUCGGCUUCUAACACCGUUUAUUUUGAGCUGCAAAAGAGUAAAAUGUCAUCAGUGAUUCCAGGCUUGAACAUGAAAAGUGCAUUUGAAACGGAGCUGGUACCAUGGUUUCGGCUGCCGGCUGCCGAGUCCUGCAAGAGCAACAGCAUUGGUGUUCUCCACAUUUUUCUGGUAAUGGAGGAGACGCAUUGGCAAAACAAACGCAUCAUUUUUUCUCAAAAUCUUACCUUGGUAAACAGCGAGGAAAUAAUAGAUGAGCAUUCGAACUGAGUUAAGGCUAAAUUAUGAGAUUGUCUUAUUUACUCGUGAUUUAUUCAACAUCCAGACUUCCGUUCCAAAGUUUGAAAAACAGGACACCAGAAUCAAGUUCACAAGAAGUCAAAGAAAUUGGUUUCUGAAAGUGACUAGCGAAAUUGGUAAGCAGUGAUGACUUCCACAUUGGAGUCAACAUCUAAAUGUCCCACAGUCACUAACCACUUCCAGUGUUAAGCUUUGAAUCAUGUGAUCUUAGUCAACAACACCAAAAGCUGGGAAAUUUCCUCUUCACAUGUUGAUCCACCCACAGGAUUCAAAGACACUUUUUUUUUUUUAUUGAAUGAUUGAAAAGCUAUGGUGCAUAGAUAUUUUGCAUAACAGCAGGAGCUUCAUCAGGAAAGAAUGGGUCUAAUAUAACUUAUAUCAGUCUAAGAGUAGUUUCCAUAAACUCUAGUGUUCUUUGGUUGUUAACAUAUGUCAUUGAACACAACUUUUCAAUUGGAUGUAAAUUACACCUAAUGUAACUUCGACCAAAACAAUAAUAUUAUUACUCUUGAAAUAACUGCGAAAGUAUUUGCUCUGACUGCAUCGAUGGCCAAAAUAACAGAAGCAGUUCCCUAACCUUUUAACUGAAAUAAACACCAAAAUACAAAACCAAGUUUCUAAAGUGAGAUUAAAACCUUGCACCAACAUAUCAUAUUUCAUUAUGCACAUAACAAAACCAUUAUCCAACUAGUAGUUAACUUCUCAUAACUUGAAUUCAUUAAAAUGCAUAGGUUACAGAACAUCAUUGGCCUACAUAAUCCAAAUUCACCAGCUACACUGAUGCAUUUCAACAGAGUUGUUAAGCAAUUCCUAUGCUUCCCAACCAAAUUAAGGAAAAGGUGCAUGGGACAAACAGAUAAUAUCAAAAUAACAGAUUGUACCAGUAAAUCCUUAUAAAUUUCCCAGAUAACAGCAAGCCGCAAUGACAAUAAUCUUUAACAAUUCAUUUUUGGUCAGCUAUGCAUUUAACAGCUUACAAAAAUUUUAACAAAUGAUACUAUUUAAAAAAAAAAGCCAAAACAACAGACUUAAAACAUAAAACAAUUCAAUCUACCAAACACCAGUCAUUGUGUGUCUGAAGCACAAGUAAUUUUUUCAACUAUUGGACAUGAUCAAUCACAAAUUUUCAUUAGAACUGCUUUCAGCAUUAGACCAUCUCCUAAAUGCGCAAGGUACCAAAUUCCUACCAGCAAAAAGCCCCAACUUCACCCGGAAAAACGCCAGU
rnacentral:lncRNA from 1 species